GAGCGCAGGUGGUUGUAUAAGUCUGAAGUAAAAGGCAGUGGCUCAACCAUUGUGUGCUUUGGAAACUGUACAACUUGAGUGCAGAAGGGGAGAGUGGAAUUCCAUGUGUAGCGGUGAAAUGCGUAGAUAUAUGGAGGAACACCGGUGGCGAAAGCGGCUCUCUGGUCUGUAACUGACACUGAGGCUCGAAAGCGUGGGAGCAAACA
rnacentral:rRNA from 1 species